GUAGGGAAUAUUGGACAAUGGGGGCAACCCUGAUCCAGCGACGCCGCGUGAGUGAUGAAGGCCUUCGGGUCGUAAAGCUCUGUUGCAGGGGAAGAACACAAUGACGGUACCCUGUUAGAAAGGAUCGGCUAACUUCGUGCCAGCAGCCGCGGUAAGACGAGGGAUCCUAGCGUUGUUCGGAAUUAUUGGGCGUAAAGCGGGUGCAGGUGGCUUGGUAAGUCAGAUGUGAAAGCCUGGGGCUUAACCCCAGAAGUGCAUUUGAUACUGCUGAGCUUGAGUGCUGGAGAGGCUAUUAGAAUUCCUGGUGUAGUGGUGAAAUACGUAGAUAUCAGGAGGAAUACCGGAGGCGAAGGCGGAUAGCUGGCCAGACACUGACACUCAGACCCGAAAGCGUGGGGAGCAAACAGGAUUAGAAACCCCAGUAGUCC
rnacentral:rRNA from 1 species